UUAAGUUCAGCGGGUAAUCCUACCUGAUCCGAGGUCAACCUUGUGAGAAUUGGGGUUCGCUGGCAAGCUGCCACCCGGAGAUCCGAAGCGAGGUUUAGCUACUACGCUUGGAGCCGGAUGACGCCGCCACUGAUUUUAAGGCCCGCCGGGUGCCGGCGCGGCCCAGUACCAAGCAGGGCUUGAGGGUUGAAAUGACGCUC
rnacentral:misc_RNA from 1 species